CCGGGGGUAGCCGGGGCGGUACUGGGGCGGGCCCCCCUGAGACCCCCGUAGCCGACAUCGGGGUUCCCAUCGCCUUGACCUUCAAGCACACAGUGAUUCAAAGCACAGUGAGUGAAGUGGAAGUAAAAAUUAAUCCCUCAGGAAUGCUGUGAUGUACAGUGCCACACUGCUUGGAGAUAUUUUUGUCCUGCAGACUCAGAUAAAUACACAAGAAGAAAGGUUAAACAUAUCUCCUCCUCAUGCCGGUGGCACGCAAGACCUCUACAGCAGGAUCGCUGUCCGGUUCGCUUUGCACAGACAGAUCCUUGCAGAGCCACUCGUCCACAGCGGAGGCCUCCGCAGUGCCCGUGCUCCCUGGGAGGGAAGGACCGCGCUGGGGCUGGCCCCGAAUGCCCUCCCAUGGUGAUAGUCACAUCCCGUGACAGUCACGGCGCAGAGCCGGAUGGGGAAGCCGCAUCCCGGCCGCUGGGACGACGAGCGACGCGAAUAGCGAGGCGAGAAACGCGCCCCUCAAACCGCUCCGGAGCGAGGGGCACGCCGCGAACCCCCGCUUCCUGACAGAGCCCAGUGCCCUUCCAAAACUCUGAUUCAUUUCAGAGUUCCGCCUCCGAAUUUUGUGGCUGUCAAAAAUAGGUUAGAAACUAUUGUAAAAUAGUUGAUAGUUGUUAAGCAUGUACUGUUAGUUUGGUUAUGGCAAAAGGGGUUAAAAGCGUAGUGAGAAGAAAUACGGUACUAUACGUACCAUAAUACACCUAAGUAAAGUGCACCACCCCCCAGCGAAAGGAGCCAGCCUGGACAGAACUGUCAUGGACCAAUCAAGCGCCUUAAACCUUCAUGCAAACGAAGGUGCUGAAAAAAGAAAACCAAGGUGAAAAAAGGUGCUGAAAAAGAAACCAAUCCAAAGGGACAAAAAACAGGAUAAAAAGGGGGCUUCUGACCCACUGAACCUGUGCCGCUUCACCUGGAACAUCGGGGACAUCGCUGCUCAGAAGACCCAGCGCCGGCGCUGCAGCCUCCUCGACGGGAAUGCUCCUGCUCAGCCCGCGGGCCCCCUUGCUUUAGGCCUUUCCUUCUUAUUACAAUAAAUGCUGAAAUCACUUUUAGUACCGGGAAUGUGGUCCCGUUUUUAACAGUGGCCAUGCGAAGUGACCUGCACAGCGUUUUAUUUACCAGCAGAUUGAUUUCCUGCUUAGCUAAUCUCAAAAGCCAGUAAAGCGACCGAUUUGUUUAUUUGAGUGAAUUAUUUGACUUAUUAAAUAACACCCUUGUCCUGGCAACACUA